rnacentral:lncRNA from 1 species
GGAGAGUUCAGGCCAUGUGGAUGUAUGGAGCUGGUGGUCAGUAGAAACACCCGUGGCCAUGGGGACAGCACAUACAAGGAAUCAGGCCUCCUGCUGCGUAUCUCUAGGCCUUGGGUAAGGAGCUCUUCAGAUGGGAGAUUCAAAGUAGGUGAGCCCGUCCUCUGGAGGAUGAGAAAUUCGCCUGGAGCCGCUCAGCGGGGCCUCCCGGAGCCUCUGUUAGAUCUCUGGGUUCCUGACUCCCACUUCUCUGCUCAGACCACCAGGCGACACUGCCUCUAAUGACAAAAAAAAAAAAAAAAAACCUUUUCCCAUUCCACCCCAACUAAUGCUCCAAGGACUUUCUUAAUUGCAAUGGAU